UACGGAAGGGGGCUAGCGUUGCUUCGGAAUCACUGGGCGUAAAGGGUGCGUAGGCGGGUCUUUUAAGUCAGGGGUGAAAUCCUGGAGCUCAACUCCAGAACUGCCUUUGAUACUGAAGAUCUUGAGUUCGGGAGAGGUGAGUGGAACUGCGAGUGUAGAGGUGAAAAUUCGUAGAUAUUCGCAAGAACACCAGUGGCGAAGGCGGCUCACUGGCCCGAUACUGACGCUGAGGCACGAAAGCGUGGGGAGCAAACAGG
rnacentral:rRNA from 1 species